rnacentral:rRNA from 1 species
UACGUAGGGGGCGAGCGUUGUCCGGAGUUACUGGGCGUAAAGGGCAUGCAGGCGGUCGGACGCGUUUUGUGUGACAGCGGGUGGCUCAACUACCCGAGCAUGCGAAAGACGGUCGGACUUGAGGACUCGAGAGGGACACGGAAUUCCGGGUGGAGUGGUGAAAUGCGUAGAGAGUCCGGAGGAACACCGAAGGCGAAGGCAGUGUCCUGGCGAGUGACUGACGCUGAGGUGCGAAAGCCAGGGGAGCGAACGGG